rnacentral:ncRNA from 5 species
AGCAGCCGCGGUAAUUCCAGCUCCAAUAGCGUAUAUUAAAGUUGUUGCAGUUAAAAAGCUCGUAGUUGAAUUUCGGGGUUAGUAGGUUGGUCAUGCCUCUGGUAUGUACUGGUCUCACUGAUUCCUCCUUCCUGAUGAACCUUAAUGCCAUUAAUUUGGUGUUUUGGGGAAUUUGGACUGUUACUUUGAAAAAAUUAGAGUGUUUAAAGCAAGCUAACGCUUGAAUACAUUAGCAUGGAAUAAUGAAAUAGGACGUUCGAUCCUAUUUUGUUGGUUUCUAGGAUUGACGUAAUGAUUAAUAGGGAUAGUUGGGGGCAUUAGUAUUCAAUUGUCAGAGGUGAAAUUCUUGGAUUUAUUGAAGACUAACUACUGCGAAAGCAUUUGCCAAGGAUGUUUUCAUUAAUCAAGAACGAAAGUUAGGGGAUCGAAGACGAUCAGAUACCGUCGUAGUCUUAACCAUAAACUAUGCCGACUAGGGAUCGGAUGAUGUUAAUUUUUUAAUGACUCAUUCGGCGCCUUA